rnacentral:rRNA from 1 species
CCUACGGGAGGCUGCAGUGGGGAAUAUUGCACAAUGGGGGAAACCCUGAUCCAGCGACGCCGCGUGAGUGAAGAAGUAAUUCGUUAUGUAAAGCUCUAUCAGCAGGGAAGAAAAUGACGGUACCUGAGUAAGAAGCCCCGGCUAACUACGUGCCAGCAGCCGCGGUAAUACGUAGGGGGCAAGCGUUAUCCGGAUUUACUGGGGGUAAAGGGAGCGUAGGCGGCAGUGCAAGUCUGGAGUGAAAGGCGGGGGCUCAACCCCCGGACUGCUCUGGAAACUGUAGGGCUGGAGUGCAGGAGAGGUAAGUGGAAUUCCUGGUGUAGCGGUGAAAUGCGUAGAUAUUAGGAGGAACACCAGUGGCGAAGGCGGCUUGCUGGACUGUAACUGACGUUGAGGCUCGAAAGCGUGGGGAGCAAACAGGAUUAGAUACCCGGGUAGUC